GCAGCCUUGGCCGAGGGGAAAGGCACCUGAGAGCCACUCAGGACCGCGCGGGUUCGACUCCCGCAGGCUGCU
rnacentral:tRNA from 4 species